AAAUUCUUCUUUUAUUUUCUUCACUGGCUCUAUCAUGAUUGUUAUUCGGCAACAAAAUUCCGAUGAAAAUGCUUUUAUGAAAUAUUCAAAGUUUCGAGCAUCUUGAAAGGAGUUUGAAAAGUUGGUUAGAUGGAGAGAUUAAUGGUGGGGAAAGAAUUAGAUCGAGAGACUUGUCUCGUACAUCUGAAUUGCAUAUGACAAUAAUGAUAUGCAGUGUAUGUGGGUGUUAGUUAAAAAUGACAAUGAUGUUACGGAUAGGAUGUCUGCAACAGAUGACAUUGUUUUGAUUGUUGUAAUCUCUUAGACAUGUUCAGGUGUUAAGUCUUUUUUAUAUGUUGUUUGUGUUGUUGUCUUAUGCGUAUUUAUGUUGAUAUGAUAUGUCGUGUGUUGUUUGUGUGCGAAAACAGUUUGUUUUAG
rnacentral:lncRNA from 1 species